AGUCAACCUAACCUAUGGACGGGAAUAACCUCGGGAAACUGAGAAUAAUGCCCGAUAGAACAUUAUGCCUGGAAUGGUUUAUGUUCCAAAUGAUUUAUCGCCGUAGGAUGGGACUGCGGCCUAUCAGUUUGUUGGUGAGGUAAUGGCCCACCAAGACUAUUACAGGUACGGGCUCUGAGAGGAGUAGCCCGGAGAUGGGUACUGAGACACGGACCCAGGCCCUAUGGGGCGCAGCAGGCGAGAAAACUUUGCAAUGUGCGAAAGCACGACAAGGUUAAUCCGAGUGGUUUCUGCUAAGGAAACCUUUUGUCAGUCCUAGAAACACUGAUGAAUAAGGGGUGGGCAAGUUCUGGUGUCAGCCGCCGCGGUAAAACCAGCACCUCAAGUGGUCAGGAUGAUUAUUGGGCCUAAAGCAUCCGUAGCCGGCUCUGUAAGUUUUCGGUUAAAUCUGUACGCUCAACGUACAGGCUGCCGGGAAUACUGCAGAGCUAGGGAGUGGGAGAGGUAGACGGUACUCGGUAGGAAGGGGUAAAAUCCUUUGAUCUAUUGAUGACCACCUGUGGCGAAGGCGGUCUACCAGAACACGUCCGACGGUGAGGGAUGAAAGCUGGGGGAGCAAACCGGAUUAGAUACCCGGGUAGUCCCAGCUGUAAACUAUGCAAACUCAGUGAUGCAUUGGCUUGUGGCUAAUGCAGUGCU
rnacentral:rRNA from 1 species